rnacentral:rRNA from 1 species
AUUGGACGCUGGCGGCAGGCUUAACACAUGCAAGUCGAGCGGGGUGAGGUGCUUCGGUACUGAUCCUAGCGGCGGACGGGUGAGUAAUGCUUAGGAAUCUGCCAUUUAGUGGGGGACAACAUUCCGAAAGGAAUGCUAAUACCGCAUACGUCCUACGGGAGAAAGCAGGGGAUCUUCGGACCUUGCGCUAAAUGAUGAGCCUAAGGCGGAUUAGCUAGUUGGUGGGGUAAAGGCCUACCAAGGCGACGAUCUGUAGCGGGGCUGAGAGGAUGAUCCGCCACACUGGGACUGAGACACGGCCCAGACUCCUACGGGAGGCAGCAGUGGGGGAUAUUGGACAAUGGGCGGAAGCCUGAUCCAGCCAUGCCGCGUGUGUGAAGAAGGCCUUUUGGUUGUAAAGCACUUUAAGCGAGGAGGAGGCUACCUGGAUUAAUACUCUAGGAUAGUGGACGUUACUCGCAGAAUAAGCACCGGCUAACUCUGUGCCAGCCGCCGCAGUAACAC